GAGGUAGUAAACUUCUACUGGGGGUAUUAAACUUGAAAAACAGUAUUUCUAAAGGCCAUAACACACCUUAAAACGGAGAAAAAUCAACUUAGAUGCAAAAAAAUAAAGUUUACUGGGGUUAGUAAAAAUUUUACUAAAGUUUACUAGAGGUAGUAAACUUCUACUGGGGGUAUUAAACUUGAAAAACAGUAUUUCUAAAGGCCAUAACACACCUUAAAACGGAGAAAAAUCAACUUAGAUGCAAAAAAAUAAAGUUUACUGGGGUUAGUAAAAAUUUUACUAAAGUUUACUAGAGGUAGUAAACUUCUACUGGGGGUAUUAAACUUGAAAAACAGUAUUUCUAAAGGCCAUAACACACCUUAAAA